rnacentral:rRNA from 1 species
CCUACGGUGGCAGCAGUGGGGAAUAUUGGACAAUGGGCGAAAGCCUGAUCCAGCCAUGCCGCGUGUGUGAAGAAGGCCUUCGGGUUGUAAAGCACUUUCAGUGGGGAAGAAAGCCUUGGGGCUAAUACCCUCGAGGAAGGACAUCACCCACUGAAGAAGCACCGGCUAACUCCGUGCCAGCAGCCGCGGUAAUACGGAGGGUGCGAGCGUUAAUCGGAAUUACUGGGCGUAAAGCGCGCGUAGGCGGUCUGAUAAGCCGGUUGUGAAAGCCCCGGGCUCAACCUGGGAACGGCAUCCGGAACUGUCAGGCUAGAGUGCAGGAGAGGAAGGUAGAAUUCCCGGUGUAGCGGUGAAAUGCGUAGAGAUCGGGAGGAAUACCAGUGGCGAAGGCGGCCUUCUGGACUGACACUGACGCUGAGGUGCGAAAGCGUGGGUAGCAAACAGGAUUAGAUACCCCAGUAGUC